UGGCGGCGUGGCUAGACAUGCAGUCGUACGGACUAUCCCUUAUGAGUAAUCAGAAGGAUAGUUAGUGGCGAAAGGGUGCGUAAUGGAUAGGUAACGUACCCCAGGCUUCGGAAUAGCGCCAUCCCGAGCAAUCGGGGCUACCGAAAGGGGCGGUAAUACCGGAUGAUAUUAUUUAUCGAUAGGUAAAUAAUCAAAGAUUCGUUGGCCUGGGAGCGGCCUAUUUCCUAUCAGCUUGUUGGUGAGGUAAUGGCUCACCAAGGCUACGACGGGUAGCGGGACUGAGAGGUUGACCCGCCUCAUCGGAACUGAGACACUGUCCGGACCUCCACGGAGGGCUGCAGUAACGAAUAUUGGGCAAUGGGCGAAAGCCUGACCCAGCGACGCCGCGUGUGGGAGGAAGUCUUUCGGGAUGUAAACCACUUUUAGGGCUAAGAAAGUCCCGAUUCGUCGGGAUUGAUCUAUCCCAGAAAAAGUCACGGCUAACUCUGUGCCAGCAGCCGCGGUAAGACAGAGGUGGCAAGCGUUGUUCAGUGUCACUGGGCUUAAAGGGUGUGUAGGCGGCUACGCAAGCGCGUUGUGAAAUCCCCCGGCUUAACCGGGGAACUGCUGCGCGAACUACGUAGCUUGAGGCAGGUAUGGGUGCGGGGAACUGUUGGUGGAGCGGUGGAAUGCGUAGAUAUCAACAGGAACGCCGGCGGUGAAGACGCCGCACUGGGCCUGUCCUGACGCCGAGACACGAAAGCGUGGGGAUCGAACGGGAUUAGAUACCCCGGUAGUCCACGCCCUAAACGAUGUCUACUAGGCUGGGGAGGUUCUGACGCCGCCCUGGCCGAAGCAAAAGUGUUAAGUAGACCGCCUGGGGAGUACGGUCGCAAGGCUAAAACUCAAAGGAAUUGACGGGGGCUCACACAAGCGGUGGAGCAUGUGGAUCAAUUCGAAGCAACGCCCAAAACCUUACCUGGGUUUGAAAUGCUUGGAUGCCCGCCUGGAAACAGGUGGGGCUGCCUUCGGGGUGAAACUGCACAGGUGCUGCAUGGCUGUCGUCACCUCGUGUCGUGAAAU
rnacentral:rRNA from 1 species